ACACCCUCAAGCUCUGCUUGGUGUUGGGCGUUUGUCCCGCCUCUCGCGCGUGGACUCGCUUCAAAGUCAUUGGCAGCGGCCUCGCCGGCUUCUCGCGCAGCACAUUUGCGCUUCUUGCAGCCCUGGCGUAUCCGCGUCCAGCAAGCUCUUUUUGCG
rnacentral:misc_RNA from 1 species